CUGUUAAAUAAUUCAUGUAUAACAAAUAAGUGGGUUCUCUAUGUUACUUUCUAUGCAGCAUCUUUCUUCCAUUUUUAAAUCACUUAUAAAUGUGAUUUUGUUCUCAUCAUAUUUUAACAGGUUUCUGUCUAGUGUGUUUUAAUUAGGAGAUGACACUUUUUUUCUUUCUUUAAAAAAAUUAAUUGAGAUAAAUGUUUUCAGAACACAGAUGACUUUUCCACGGGACUUUAUUAAAAAGAAGUCACCCUGUUUUGUUGCCAAGGGCACUAAAAAUUGCUGGUUGAAUAGUCAGUCAUUUCUUUUCUAAUGAAAAGAGACAGCAUGGAGAUUUCCCAGAAAAUGAAUCAGUGUAAAUGGGGAUAGUGGUUUGUAACAUCUUUCUGCUGAACUGUUUAGAACAUGACAGAGACCAAACUAGAUUACAGAACAAAAUGAGUUGAUAUAAAAUGUGUUAAAAGAACGUCAUAUUUUGUCUUUAACAUAAUUGAAUCUGCUGUGAAAAUAGCCCAUGCCAGCCAAGAGACUGAAUAUCAAACUCUGUGGGGUUGGAUUCUCCUUGUGCUGUUAUAGACACUAUGGCAAAGUGUCUCCUCUUUAUUUUUUCAAGUUAAUGUGACUUUUAAAAUUGAUUAAUAGUCAUUGUGCAUUUUUAUUCGUCUGAAGUUCAGAAUUUAGUCUGUUAUAAAGAAUAACUGGUAGCUUUGAUGUAAUAAGAGAUGAUAGAGCUUCUGAGACUUAAAAGUAAAAUUCUCAUAGGAUGUAAUCUAUCAUUUCAGGGAAAGAAAACUAUCUUUGGAAGCUGUAUUCAUUUGGACUACCAUCCAAGAACUAUCAUAUGUGCUAUGUCACCAGUCUUUGAUAGUUCAAACACAGGGAGUGUGGGCCAAGUCUGAAGGAAGGUCAAUGAGGGAAGGGAAAUGGAUCCCAAGGAUGUGGUUGCCUAAGUGAAGUACAAAGAAGAAAACAACCUUCAAAACACAUCCCCUUCCAUUUCACUGAAAAAACUUUCAAUCAUGUAUUUUAUUAUUUUUAAAUUUCAAAAAUAAUUCCUGUUAAAUAUUAAACAACAUAUAGAAGCAUGUGAUCAUCUGUUU
rnacentral:lncRNA from 10 species